rnacentral:rRNA from 1 species
AUGACUCUCGGCAACGGAUAUCUAGGCUCUCGCAUCGAUGAAGAACGUAGCAAAAUGCGAUACUUGGUGUGAAUUGCAGAAUCCCGUGAACCAUCGAGUCUUUGAACGCAAGUUGCGCCCAGAGCUGAGAGGCCGAGGGCAUGCCUGCCUGGG